CAGUAAUGUGUCUGAGUGUAUAACAGAGCUCCACAGCAAUAAUACUCCCAGUAAUGUGUCUGAGUGUAUAACAGAGCCCCACAGCAAUAAUGCUCCCAGUAAUGUGUCUGAGUGUAUAACAGAGCUCCACAGCAAUAAUACUCCCAGUAAUGUGUCUGAGUGUAUAACAGAGCUCCACAGCAAUAAUACUCCCAGUAAUGCGUCUGAGUGUAUAACAGAGCUCCACAGCAAUAAUACACCCAGUAAUGUGUCUGAGUGUAUAACAGAGCUCCACAGCAAUAAUACUCCCAGUAAUGUGUCUGAGUGUAUAACAGAGCUCCACAGCAAUAAUACUCC